rnacentral:rRNA from 1 species
GAUGAACGCUGGCGGCGUGCCUAAUACAUGCAAGUCGAGCGAACAGACGAGGAGCUUGCUCCUCUGACGUUAGCGGCGGACGGGUGAGUAACACGUGGAUAACCUACCUAUAAGACUGGGAUAACUUCGGGAAACCGGAGCUAAUACCGGAUAAUAUAUUGAACCGCAUGGUUCAAUAGUGAAAGACGGUUUUGCUGUCACUUAUAGAUGGAUCCGCGCCGCAUUAGCUAGUUGGUAAGGUAACGGCUUACCAAGGCAACGAUGCGUAGCCGACCUGAGAGGGUGAUCGGCCACACUGGAACUGAGACACGGUCCAGACUCCUACGGGAGGCAGCAGUAGGGAAUCUUCCGCAAUGGGCGAAAGCCUGACGGAGCAACGCCGCGUGAGUGAUGAAGGUCUUCGGAUCGUAAAACUCUGUUAUUAGGGAAGAACAAAUGUGUAAGUAACUAUGCACGUCUUGACGGUAUCUAAUUAGAAAGCCACGGCUAACUACGU